CCCGACCGUCGCAGCUCCUCCAGGCGUGCCGCCGCCACCGGGAGAGGGAGGCCGACCUCCUGCUGCAGCUGCUCUCCCCCGGCGGCAGCGGCCAUACUGCUGAGGAUGACGGCCUGCCGCUGCUGGUCGAUGCCCCGCUUCCUCUGCCGCCGCACGCAGGUGUAGCUUUACUGCACUUCAAAAAAGGAGUAUCAUCACCAGGACAUUCGUGGGCCGGGCAUGAGUGAAACCAAGCAUAUAUGAUGCCAUUGGCCAGCAUGCCGUUGAUGUACCUUAUGUGGGUGGGAAAAGGGAAUAUAAAUAUCUAUCCAGAUAUGGUGCCAUUGCACUAUCAUUGUCACCCCACGAGUUGAGUAGCUCCAAAAUUAAUAAGCUACAGAGCUACAUUUUUAAGGAGUGGAAAAGAAGUAUAUUGAGGAUAAUAUAACUGUGAUAAUAUAUGUUAUCAAGCUUUCAAACUCACUUGCAUUCAUUAAUAAUUGAUAGAUAGUACCUAUAUCAAACAUUGCUGGAGUCAUCUCUUGGAGAAAACAGUUUACACUUGAUGGCCUGCCGGUUCCUCAAAGCUAGCUUUACCAACUGAGUUCUAAAACGGGAAGGACAUAUAUUGAUGGUGUGAGUGUGCCAUGAGGCCGGCUCUCAAGAUGAAGAAACGGGAGGAGGAGCGCCGGCUCAGGGAAGCUGCAUAUUGUUUUCAUGGAUGCAUUUACAUAUUCUAUGUUUGGUUCGUAAUAGCACACUUUUCUUAAGGAAGUGAAGAAUUUAAAGUAACUUUGUUUUCCCCAAGAAAAAAUCUCCAUAGAUUAAAUUGUGGCUUUAUUAUUUGGAAGGGUGUAUGCUAUUAGUUAUUGUUUAGUUUCAGACUCAUUUUGGAGCAAGAGGUCGCGUCAAUGUGGAGACUAGGCGGACUCAAAUUGUUGUCGACUUGCCUCUAUACGCCAGCCAACACCCUAUCAAAUUGAGAAAUUUGAGAGACGCCCUCCACCAACCGCUCCAUUCUUCAGUGUUGCGACCUGCAGGCUACACACAUCUGCCUGAGACCAAGAGCCGGAGCAAGAGACUAUGAAAGGAGAAUAGAACUGCAGUUUUGUGGCACACAAUCCUCCGUUAUGUCUCCCUGCAAUGUUAUUGAAGGCAGGGAUUGUAUUAGAGGAAGGAUAUGGACAUUUCUACCGACACAAGAUGGUAUAGCAAGCAAAGGGAAGGAAAUGUAGGGACAUUUAUAGAAUGCAGCGUGCAGACCCCUUAACAAAUUCUCUUUACAUGAAGUUGUAUAGAAUAUUUUGUUCAGAGAACAAACAAAGAGACUGAUAUAUAACUUUUUUAGAGAGAAAAAAAAAACAAGAGAGUGAUAUAUAACUGUUGAUUUGAGUCUAUUUAAAAAGAGCAAUACGUAUGGGAGGGCACAUGGCAUUGAGCUCGUCUUUGGGGCAGUGCAUGCAUUGUUAUGUACACCAGUGGGCAUGCCACUUAGAAUACGAAGGGGAAGAACAAAAUAGAAUAUACAUCUGGCCUAGGAGUUUUCAUUGCUGC